rnacentral:rRNA from 1 species
UGGGGAAUAUUGCACAAUGGGGGCAACCCUGAUGCAGCUAUGCCGCGUGUGUGAAGAAGGUCUUCGGAUUGUAAAGCACUUUCAGCAGGGAAGAAAGUAAAUAUGCUUAAAUACCAUGUUUAUGUGACGU